rnacentral:rRNA from 1 species
UACGUAGGGCGCAAGCGUUGUCCGGAAUUAUUGGGCGUAAAGAGCUCGUAGGCGGCUUGUCAAGUCGGGUGUGAAAGACCGGGGCUUAACCCCGGUUCUGCAUUCGAUACGGGCUGGCUAGAGUGUGGUAGGGGAGAUCGGAAUUCCUGGUGUAGCGGUGAAAUGCGCAGAUAUCAGGAGGAACACCGGUGGCGAAGGCGGAUCUCUGGGCCAUUACUGACGCUGAGGAGCGAAAGCGUGGGGAGCGAACAGG